CAUUAAAUGACUGAAAGCAAGUACUGGUCUCUUAAACCAUGUUAUAGUAAUCUAGCAAUUACUUUUAAUGG
rnacentral:tRNA from 8 species